GAGCUCGUGUUCCUCCACUGGUUCAUAAUUGUUGCAGAGGUAAGCAAUGAUUGGGGAUCUCCAAUCCAUGCUGCUGAUUGCAUUCACGAGACUCAUAGAUUGGCUAUCUCCUUUUAUCUAUGGGGAGCUAAUGACUUCAAAGAACACAUCAGGAGGCAACUGCUCUUUUCUUGAAGCUGCCUUUGCUAACUCACCAACCUCUCCGUUUCCUUUUCUAGGUAAGUGUUCAACUGUGAAACCUCCGAAAUGUCUUUCCAUUCUCCUGACCUAUGCUAAGUAUUUUAUCAGUUCCGGCUGUCUGGCCUCACAUUCUUUCUCGAUUUGUUCUUUGAUCACCCUCGCAUCUGAUUUUACCAAAAAA
rnacentral:lncRNA from 1 species